AACGAACGCUGGCGGCAUGCCUAACACAUGCAAGUCGAACGCCAUGGUUUCGGCCAUGGAGUGGCGCACGGGUGAGUAACGCGUGGGAACCUGCCCAGCAGUAUGGGACAACCGCGGGAAACUGCGGCUAAUACCGUAUACGCCCGUCUUUGGGAGACCAGGGGCGGGGAAAGAUUGAUCGCUGUUGGAGGGGCCCGCGUCGGAUUAGGUAGUUGGUGGGGUAAAGGCCUACCAAGCCUGCGAUCCGUAGCUGGUCUGAGAGGAUGAUCAGCCACACUGGGACUGAGACACGGCCCAGACUCCUACGGGAGGCAGCAGUGGGGAAUAUUGGACAAUGGGCGCAAGCCUGAUCCAGCAAUGCUGCGUGAGUGAUGAAGGCCUUAGGGUUGUAAAGCUCUUUCACACGCGACGAUGAUGACGGUAGCGUGAGAAGAAGCCCCGGCUAACUCCGUGCCAGCAGCCGCCGUAAGAC
rnacentral:rRNA from 1 species